GUCCAGACUCCUACGGGAGGCAGCAGUGGGGAAUAUUGCACAAUGGGGGAAACCCUGAUGCAGCGACGCCGCGUGAGUGAAGAAGUAUUUCGGUAUGUAAAGCUCUAUCAGCAGGGAAGAAAAUGACGGUACCUGACUAAGAAGCCCCGGCUAACUACGUGCCAGCAGCCGCGGUAAUACGUAGGGGGCAAGCGUUAUCCGGAUUUACUGGGUGUAAAGGGAGCGUAGACGGCAUGGCAAGUCAGAUGUGAAAGCCCGGGGCUCAACCCCGGGACUGCAUUUGAAACUGUCAGGCUGGAGUGCAGGAGAGGUAAGUGGAAUUCCUAGUGUAGCGGUGAAAUGCGUAGAUAUUAGGAGGAACACCAGUGGCGAAGGCGGCUUACUGGACUGUAACUGACGUUGAGGCUCGAAAGCGUGGGGAGCAAACAGGAUUAGAUACCCUGGUACUU
rnacentral:rRNA from 1 species